GGGACUUUUGAAAUGCAUUCUGUGAAUGAGAAGAAAUGCAAACAUGUUGGCAAAACUGAUUAUUUUCAUUGUGGAUCUCACGCUUGCUUUGGCCAUUUUUGUUAUCUUUUAUUUAAUGGCUGCCACUGUUUUUUUCAUCUCGGUCAUUUUCUAUAUUUUCAAAAGGGAGAUGGAAAAAAAACUUUGACUUCAACAAGCGCCGAAUCUGGGCGCUGGAUUCUAGCAAUGCUACUGAGGAGCCUUUGGCAGGUGGCGCAGAGAAAGUCAGCUCCAAGCUGCUUCCUGUCCAUUGUCCAGCUGUAGGAGAAGGGUCUUUCCUGCCCAAGGACAGUGGUCCUCUCUUCUAAAGAGCAAGGAGCUCUCUGAGGUGGAGGAGGCUUGUGAAGACUUCCCAGAACACUGCACCCACCUGACCAAGAGGUACUUUUUAAGGUCAUUCAAACUGUCAUCUACACAUGAAUAACAAUGAAAUUCUCAUAAAGAAGCAGAAAUACCCAGGAGGCAUGAAGAGUCAUCAUGCUUCAAAAGUACAUGUAUUAGGACUUCACGACCUCAGGAAAAGUAGACUCCGUAACUCUUAAAAGCUCAAUCUUGGAGAGGAGAAACAUGCUGUUUGAUGACAUAGCACAGAAACUUGUUGAAAUAUCCUUGGAGCUUGAGAUGUCGAGAGCGAGCCAUCAAAAUGUUCUCAAGAAUUAAAUUGAAAAAUGUUGCUUCAAAAUGUCUUAGCCAACCAAAUACAAACAUUUUUGUCAUUGUGACAAAAAAAAAGCUCACCAAUUGUCUUUGCUAGUCUCAGCACAGCCCAAGAGGAGCAUCCUUCAUGAGCCAACUGAAAAACAGUGUGUAGUCUAUGCUUCUGACCAGAUGGGCUUCUCUUGUCACCAUAACAUUAUGUAUUAGGACUUCAUGUAUUAUGUAUUAUGUCAACACUUUAUUCAUUAUGCUGAUCAUACUCUGUAUUUCACUUGCUCUGGUUAUUUGUAAAGCUUUUCCUAUUUCAUCAUUAAAUUAUCCUUGUAUUUUAGCAACUGCA
ensembl:lncRNA PARAL1 PPARG activating RBM14 associated lncRNA 1